AAGACCUUAAGUUAAAUAAACUAAGAGUUUUCAAAGCUUAAAAUAAGGAGUGUCUCCUUAGGUCUUG
rnacentral:tRNA from 1 species